UCCAGACUCCUACGGGAGGCAGCAGUGGGGAAUAUUGCACAAUGGGGGAAACCCUGAUGCAGCGACGCCGCGUGAGCGAAGAAGUAUUUCGGUAUGUAAAGCUCUAUCAGCAGGGAAGAAAAAAAUGACGGUACCUGAGUAAGAAGCACCGGCUAAAUACGUGCCAGCAGCCGCGGUAAAACGUAUGGUGCAAGCGUUAUCCGGAUUUACUGGGUGUAAAGGGAGCGUAGGCGGCGCGUUAAGUCUGAUGUGAAAACCCGAGGCUCAACCACGGGAGUGCAUUGGAAACUGGCGGGCUGGAGUGCCGGAGAGGUAGGCGGAAUUCCUAGUGUAGCGGUGAAAUGCGUAGAUAUUAGGAGGAACACCAGUGGCGAAGGCGGCUUACUGGACGGCAACUGACGCUGAGGCUCGAAAGCGUGGGGAGCAAACAGGAUUAGAUACCCCCGUA
rnacentral:rRNA from 1 species